rnacentral:misc_RNA from 1 species
AACUGAUACUACCUGCGGGAACCUGCGGAAGGAUCAUUACCGAGUUAUCAACUCCCAAACCCCUGUGAACAUACCCGAACGUUGCCUCGGCGGGACCGCCCCGGCGCCCCUAGCGGCCCGGAACCAGGCGCCCGCCGGAGGACCCAAACUCUUGCUUUAAACAGUGGCAUACUCUCUGAGUCUCACAAACAAAAAAUAAAUCAAAACUUUUAGCAAUGGAUCUCUAGAUCGGAAGAGCAC